UAUUAGUCUUGCUUAAUCUUGGCUAUUAAGAUAUUUAUCUAAGAAGCUCUAACCGAUAAUGAUUUGUCCUGUACCAGCUGUAACACUUAUCUUUUUCUUCCGUCCAAAGAUUCACUCUAGGAUGGCAGAGAGAGAUAGACAGAGAGACGGAAGCAAUGAAUCUACGACGAUUGUGUUUGUCUAACGACUGAUGCUUCUGGAGAGACAAGACACCAGCUACGUGAAGCCGACUGGUUACAAAAAAAGAAAAAGAUCGAAACAGGAUGAUGCCGUAUCUGCUUAUUCACAUGCAACUCCUAACUGUUGGUUGACAAAUCCCAUCUAUUCACUUCCAGGCUCAUGAGAUCCUCGGAAUGCAGAUUCAUCGCCUUAACUAAACCUUUGCUAACAGAAACGAGGCGAGGAAUACUGCAUUAUCGAUGUUUGUUUAAUCAGCUCAAGCAGUGGCGGAGUUAGCACGGGACGAGGGUGGUCUAUAGCCCCCCCUGGAUUCUGAAAAAAAAUUAUUAUUUUUUUUUUUUUGGUGUACAAGAUUAAAAAAAAAAAAUUAGACCCCUCUAAAUAUUUUAGUACAUACUAAUUUAUUUUUAAAAAAUGAAAAUUAUUUUCAAAAAGUCAAAUGAAUACAUAAAAAAUAUUUUUAUCAAACUUUUUUAAUAACAUUUUAGUUUUAUAUUUUAUUUUAUACUUUAAUAUUACAUUUGUAAUAGACUAAUAGUUAAAUUAAUAGUUAGACACAAUACGUAUACAUUACAGUUUACACACAACCUAAGAACUAGUCAACUAGAAAGAAAAAAAAGCAUAGGAAAGGAAAAAAGCAUAUAUAGUCUCUGUUCUCUCACAUUCGCAUAGUCUCUGUUCUCUGAUUCUCUCGCAUAGUCUCUGGUCUCUGCUUGCUCUCUGCCUCUCUCACUUGCUUUCUGCGGCUCUGCCUCUCUGCCUCUCUCAGCUUUAAUAUCACCUUGAGUCCUUGAGAAUUAAAAUGGAGAAAUUUUUCCAGAGGGUUAAAACUAAACCUAGAACUGAGGAUGUGGGCUCAAGUUUUAAUCCUAAUAUUUCUGCCCCUAGUGUUACUAAUAAUGGGCCUAAUUUGGAAGAAUUUCCUGCUGAUCCCGGAUUGAGAAGAGCUAUUUAUGAGUAUGAUGUUAAUAUAAGGGAGAAAGUUAGACGAACUUAUCUUCAAAGAGGGCCUUUUCAACCUAAAAAUCAUGAUUUUCCUUGGUCUCAACUUGGAGUUCAGAAACGUAGAUUUAUUUCAACGUGGUUUAAUGAUUAUAAACCUUGGCUUGAGUAUAGUAUUGCAAAAGAUGCUGCAUUUUGCUUGCCUUGUUAUCUUUUCAAAUCUGUUCACGGUAGACAAGGAGGUGCUGAUGUUUUUAGUGGGGAGGGGUUUAGAAACUGGAAAAAAAAAGAUAAAUUUACCAUACAUGUUGGUGAACAUGAUAGUAAUCAUAAUAAGUGUAUGCGUGCUUGUGAGGAUUUGAUGUAUCAUCGUCAACUAAUAUGGAUGACUUCUAUAUGAUUCAAGGCAGAUCAAGGAGAAAUAUUGAAAAGGCAACUAAUUUCCACUUUUAUCAUGUUGAAGUGUUUUGCGAGGUGAUAGAUAUGCAACUUCAAGAGUUGAAUAAUCGCUUCAAUGAGGUAAAUACUGAAUUGUUGUUAUGCAUGUCAUGCCUUGAUCCAAGUAAUUCAUUCUCAUCAUUCAACAAGGGAAGCUUGAUUCGAUUUGCUGAGUUUUAUCCAAAUGACUUUUCUAUGUAUGAUUUGAUGGAUUUGGCACCUCAACUUGAUUGUUAUAUCAUGGAUAUGAGUACAAAUGAUCAAUUUCAAAAUCUUCACGGUCUUGUUGAGUUAUCAAAAAAGUUAGUUCAAGUAAAGAAGCACAAGGUCUAUCCAUUGAUUUAUUUGCUUGUGAAAUUAGCUUUGAUUUUACCCGUAGCAACUGCAACUGUGGAAAGGGUAUUUUCUGCGAUGAAACAUGUUAAAACAGAAUUGCGGAACAGGAUUGGUGAUGAGUUGAUGAAUGACUGCUUGGUGGCGUAUAUUGAAAAGGAUGUAAUGAAUUCAAUUGAUGUUGAAGACAUUAUAGUGAGGUUUCAAAAUAUGGCACCUAGGAGAGUGUUAUUGUGAAUUUGUAAGUUGUAACAAUAAUAUGUCAAAUUUAAUUAUAUAUUAUGUACCCAAAAAAUUUUUUCC